rnacentral:pre_miRNA from 1 species
AGGAGCAACAGCCCCAGUGGCGGGGCCAGCUCUGGAAACCUGGAUUCAGCCCCCGCAGGAACUCUGGAGCUCUCGGUCUGCAGGGCCUGGAGGCUCCGGGGCGGG